rnacentral:lncRNA from 1 species
UGACUGUUGGUUGUUCUGUGGGUGGUGAGGUUACUUCAGGUUCAGGUGGAUGUGGUUGUGGUUGUUGGGAGGCAAGGUUUUGUGUCUGAAGUUGGGCUAGAGUGGGAGAAGCGGGGUCAGAGAAUUCUGUGUCAGAUGAGAUGAUACAGUAAGGGGGUGAUUCUGGGGCUGAAGAUGAGGAGGUGGUUUCAUUCAUUUGUUCAGCUUCAGAUAUGGGUAAGGAGGUAUUGGCGAGGUUAAAUUUUGGGAGUGGUUGAGAUGUUCUGGUCGUUGAAGGAGGGGUUUCAGAUGGGGUG